AGACCAUUCCACAGGAUUUGGGCUAACUAUGUCAUGAUGUCAUGGUGUCAAUUCCCUCUCUUUGUGAUGAAGGUACAACCAAAGGGUGCCUGUGAGGGAGCAGCUGUCCGGCC